AGUCGACAGGAUCGCCUGACGCGGGCACAGCGUCCUCCAAGAGGCCACCUUGCUGAGAGGCAGACUUCCCAUCCACAAAAUGGGAUAUUGAUUCCUAAUAAACACCUUGCACCUAAACUCUGUCUUCGUGUCUGCCUGCAUAGAACCCAACCUGCAACACAAAUUCUGAUUCCUGGAGGUCAGGCGUUGGCGGUGUUUCUUGUGUUUUGCUGUUCUGAAUAAAGCUGCUAUGAUCAUCUACAUACACAUCUUCUUGUGGACAUGUUUUUAUUUUUCUUGGGUAAAUACCUGGUCAUCAGGCCAACAUCAUGAAAGACAAAGAAAGGCUGAGAAACUGUUCCAGAUUAAAGGAUACUAAAGAGACAUGACAACUACAUGCAACAUGUAAUCCCAAACUAGAAAAAAAGCUGUAAAGGACAUUACUGGGACUGAACAAAAUACAGACUACAGGUUAGUUAAAAUGUAUUGGGUGGCUGCAUGGGGGGAACAGGCCUUCUGCCACACUGGUUGGAGUGUCAGGCCAUUUGGCAAUAUUCACAUAAACAGAAUAUUGCACCAAAGAUGAAAGAUACAAAAUUGUAUCCACUUUUUGAUUCUAUUUAUAUAAAGUCCAAAAAUUAGCAAAACUAGUCUAGGGUGAUAAAAGUAAUAGAAGGGCAGUGAUAGUUUUCCUUGAGAGGAUAACAGUAGGGCUGCUGGGGUGCUGGUCAUAUCUCUUUCUUCAUCUGAGUGAUGCUGACAGGGAUAAAUACAGUUUGUAAAGCUUUAUCAUUUGCCAACCUAUCUAUGCACAUUAAGUGCAUAUUAUACUGAAAUAUAUUUUUAAAGUAAAAAUAGCCCUUUGUGUAAACCUCCACAUUUUAUUCCCUUGUUCUGAAGAACUGUUAACAGCUUGGUAUUUCCUUCUAGAUAUGUUUCUAUUUGUUUAUACUGAUAGGUUGACCAAUGUAAGCGAGUGGAUGGAUGGAUAGAUAGAUGGAUAGAUAGUAGCUAGCUAACCAGACAGACUGAGUUUGUUUGUUUGUGGUGUUUUUUGUUUGUUUGUUUUUGUUUGUUUGUUUGAGAUGGAGUCUCUCUCUGUCGCCCAGGCUGGGGUGCAGUGGCGUGAUCUCGACUCACUGCAACCUCCGCCUCCCGAGUUCAAGUGAUUUUCCUGCCUCAGCCUCCCGAGUAGCUGGGAUUACAGGUGCGUGCCACCACACUUGGCUGAUAUUCUGUGUUUUUAGUAGAGACAGGUUUCACCGUGUUAGCCAGGAUAGUCUCAAUCUCCUGACCUCGUGAUCCACCCGCCUCAGCCUCCCAAAGUGUUAGGAUUACAGGCGUGAGCCACUGCGCCUGGAAAGUUUGUUUUGUUUUUACCGUAAAUGUUACAUAUUAUUGUUCUGUGACUUGCUAUUUUCUUUUGAUAAUGUAUCUUGGAGAUCUGACCACAUCAGUAUGAAAACACUAUUUUUUUAAAGAAGAACACACAAUAUUUCACAGUCAGAAUAAACCAUAACUUUAUUAGUGUAGUAUUGUUUGGCAUUUAGGUCAUUUCCAACUUUUGCCAUUUAAACAGCACUACAAAAACACUCUUUGACCCAUUCCUUUGAAUAUUUGUAUGUCUCAGUCGAGCGUAUGGCUAAAGGAGGAAUGUCUGCAUCAGUGUUUGUGCAUUUUCAUUCUAAUAAAUGUUGCCAAAUUGCCUGCCAAAUAUAUGACCCCAGUUUACACACUGUCCAUUCAUUCACUCAUUUAUUUAUUGACUCACAUACUUGAUAAAUAUUUAUCAAGGAUCUACUCUGUUCUGGGCACACUGUUCUAGGUUCUGGGAAUUCAGCAGUGAUGAGGAGGUAGUCCUUACUCUCAUGGAACUUGCAAUCUGGUCAGAGAGAGAGAUCCCCAACACGUAGAGACGUAUAUAUAUGGUGUGUCAGGUGACGAGAAACGCUAAAAGUAAGUUAAGGUGUCUGAGCAUGCCUAUUUCCCCACACUGUGACCAACACUGAUAUUACCCAUUCUUCUGAUAUUUUUUUCUAAUUUGAUAGCUAUUUCCCCUAUUGUGAAUUGUGUUCUUAUCCCUUUUUGCCCAUUUUAUUGAUGGAGUGUUUUUUUCCUUUGUCCUUAUUGAUUUGUGGGAGCUCUUAUUUUAUUGUGGAUUUUAAUCCUCCGACU
rnacentral:lncRNA from 1 species